UUCUUUGGCAAGCUCCUAGACUUCUCGGAUUUGUUCCCGUAGAAUCUCCAACGAUCGUCCGGACUUCCGUCGAACUCUCGAACUCCCAACGUGAUCAUGGUCUUGACUCUGGCAUAACUCCUACUACAUGUCUUACUUCCAUUGUAGUUAAUCCUGCACAUGUAAAACAAAACUUCGAUCAAGACAAUUAAUCCUAAGCAAUUAACCAAGUUGUCUGGCAUGUCAUUGGUCCCUCGAUGCUUCGUCCGAUUCUUCGGCGCAUCGUCCUCUCCU
rnacentral:lncRNA from 1 species